AUGCUCAUCGAGGAGGCGGACGUUGUAGGCUUGGUCGCCCUGCGCCUGCCGAAACGUGGUCUCCCGCUCCUCCGACGCCAUGUCGGCGUAGUGGACACGGGCCUCGCCAAGGUGAUGCCAGCAUUGGCCGGCGAGGAUGUUGGUGCCGGCUCGGCGGCGGCCGCCUUUGUCAUUGGCGCGUGCUCAGCGUCGGCCUCCGAUGAGCUCGUCCGCCUUGUGGCAUGCCAUUCGGCAGCAAUGGCUGCGAGCUCCUUCUUUUGGUCGGAGGAGAGGCCCUCCCACAAAGCUUUGGAGUUUGAGGAGGCCAUGGUGGGUGUUCUGCGGAGAGGAGAUAGAGAGGGGAGGAGGGUGGAUGGAUGCAGCUACGUUGCCGGCCUGCGAUUUAAAUAG
rnacentral:rRNA from 1 species